AAUUUAUAAGAUAAUAAAAAAGAGCUGUGAUCCAAAUAUCGAUUGGAAUUACUUUGGUUUAAACGUUGGAUUUUAUGCGAGUAAACCAAUAAAGCAAGGAGAACUGAUAUCUAUGAGUACUUCUGGACCAUAUCAUACAUCGUCUAAAGCUCAACGACAUUCAGCAUUAGAACUUACUACUGGUGAUCCUGUACCAUGUAAAUGUAUAGCAUGUAUUGAAAAUUGGCCAACCCUAGAUUAUCUUCCAUCUUACCAGAGUAUGAUGUUGCCAGCAAGUAUAAAGGAAGAAUUGAAUUCUAUGACUCUAA